UGGGGAAUAUUGCACAAUGGGCGCAAGCCUGAUGCAGCCAUGCCGCGUGUGUGAAGAAGGCCUUCGGGUUGUAAAGCACUUUCAGCGAGGAGGAAGGUGGUGAACUUAAUACGUUCAUCAAUUGACGUUACUCGCAGAAGAAGCACCGGCUAACUCCGUGCCAGCAGUCGCGGUAAUACGGAGGGUGCAAGCGUUAAUCGGAAUUACUGGGCGUAAAGCGCAUGCAGGCGGUUUGUUAAGUCAGAUGUGAAAUCCCCGGGCUCAACCUGGGAACUGCAUUUGAAACUGGCAAGCUAGAGUCUCGUAGAGGGGGGUAGAAUUCCAGGUGUAGCGGUGAAAUGCGUAGAGAUCUGGAGGAAUACCGGUGGCGAAGGCGGCCCCCUGGACGAAGACUGACGCUCAGGUGCGAAAGCGUGGGGAGCAAACAGGAUUAGAUACCCUGGUAGUCCACGCUGUAAACGAUGUCGAUUUUGGAGGUUGUGCCCUUGAGGCGUGGCUUCCGGAGCUAACGCGUUAAAUCGACCGCCUGGGGAGUACGGCCGCAAGGUUAAAACUCAAAUGAAUUGACGGGGUCAUAGCUG
rnacentral:rRNA from 1 species